AUGAUGAACGCUAGCUACAGGCUUAACACAUGCAAGUCGAGGGGCAGCAUGGUCUUAGCUUGCUAAGACUGAUGGCGACCGGCGCACGGGUGAGUAACACGUAUCCAACCUGCCGUCUACUCUUGGACAGCCUUCUGAAAGGAAGAUUAAUACAAGAUGGCAUCAUGAGUCCGCAUGUUCACAUGAUUAAAGGUAUUCCGGUAGACGAUGGGGAUGCGUUCCAUUAGAUAGUAGGCGGGGUAACGGCCCACCUAGUCUUCGAUGGAUAGGGGUUCUGAGAGGAAGGUCCCCCACAUUGGAACUGAGACACGGUCCAAACUCCUACGGGAGGCAGCAGUGAGGAAUAUUGGUCAAUGGGCGAGAGCCUGAACCAGCCAAGUAGCGUGAAGGAUGACUGCCCUAUGGGUUGUAAACUUCUUUUAUAAAGGAAUAAAGUCGGGUAUGCAUACCCGUUUGCAUGUACUUUAUGAAUAAGGAUCGGCUAACUCCGUGCCAGCAGCCGCGGUAAUACGGAGGAUCCGAGCGUUAUCCGGAUUUAUUGGGUUUAAAGGGAGCGUAGAUGGAUGUUUAAGUCAGUUGUGAAAGUUUGCGGCUCAACCGUAAAAUUGCAGUUGAUACUGGAUAUCUUGAGUGCAGUUGAGGCAGGCGGAAUUCGUGGUGUAGCGGUGAAAUGCUUAGAUAUCACGAAGAACUCCGAUUGCGAAGGCAGCCUGCUAAGCUGCAACUGACAUUGAGGCUCGAAAGUGUGGGUAUCAAACAGGAUUAGAUACCCUGGUAGUCCACACGGUAAACGAUGAAUACUCGCUGUUUGCGAUAUACGGCAAGUGGCCAAGCGAAAGCGUUAAGUAUUCCACCUGGGGAGUACGCCGGCAACGGUGAAACUCAAAGGAAUUGACGGGGGCCCGCACAAGCGGAGGAACAUGUGGUUUAAUUCGAUGAUACGCGAGGAACCUUACCCGGGCUUAAAUUGCAGAUGAAUUACGGUGAAAGCCGUAAGCCGCAAGGCAUCUGUGAAGGUGCUGCAUGGUUGUCGUCAGCUCGUGCCGUGAGGUGUCGGCUUAAGUGCCAUAACGAGCGCAACCCUUGUUGUCAGUUACUAACAGGUUCCGCUGAGGACUCUGACAAGACUGCCAUCGUAAGAUGUGAGGAAGGUGGGGAUGACGUCAAAUCAGCACGGCCCUUACGUCCGGGGCUACACACGUGUUACAAUGGGGGGUACAGAGGGCCGCUACCACGCGAGUGGAUGCCAAUCCCCAAAACCUCUCUCAGUUCGGACUGGAGUCUGCAACCCGACUCCACGAAGCUGGAUUCGCUAGUAAUCGCGCAUCAGCCACGGCGCGGUGAAUACGUUCCCGGGCCUUGUACACACCGCCCGUCAAGCCAUGAAAGCCGGGGGUACCUGAAGUACGUAACCGCAAGGAGCGUCCUAGGGUAAAACUGGUAA
rnacentral:rRNA from 1 species